GAUCUGGCUCAGGACGAACGCUGGCGGCGUGCCUAACACAUGCAAGUCGAACGAGGGUUUGGAAAGCUUGCUUUCCGAAACCUAGUGGCGGACGGGUGAGUAACGCGUGAGUAACCUGCCUUUCAGAGGGGAAUAACGUUCUGAAAAGAACGCUAAUACCGCAUAACGUACAGUUACCGCAUGGUAGCAGUACCAAAGGAGCAAUCCGCUGAAAGAUGGACUCGCGUCCGAUUAGCUAGUUGGUGGGGUAAAGGCCU
rnacentral:rRNA from 1 species